UAGGGAAUCUUCCACAAUGGACGCAAGUCUGAUGGAGCAACGCCGCGUGAGUGAAGAAGGUUUUCGGACCGUAAAGCUCUGUUGUUGGUGAAGAAGGAUAGAGGUAGUAACCGGCCUUUAUUUGACGGUAAUCAACCAGAAAGUCACGGCUAACUACGUGCCAGCAGCCGCGGUAAUACGUAGGUGGCAAGCGUUGUCCGGAUUUAUUGGGCGUAAAGCGAGCGCAGGCGGAAGAAUAAGUCUGAUGUGAAAGCCCUCGGCUUAACCGAGGAAUUGCAUCGGAAACUGUUUUUCUUGAGUGCAGAAGAGGAGAGUAGAACUCCAUGUGUAGCGGUGGAAUGCGUAGAUAUAUGGAAGAAUACCAGUGGCGAAGGCGGCUCUCUGGUCUGCAACUGACGCUGAGGCUCGAAAGCAUGGGUAGCGAACAGGAUUAGAUACCCUGGUAGUCCACGCCGUAAACGAUGAGUGCUAAGUGUUGGGAGGCUUCCGCCUCUCAGUGCUGCAGCUAACGCAUUAAGCACUCCGCCUGGGGGAGUACGACCGCAAGGUUGAAAC
rnacentral:rRNA from 1 species